rnacentral:tRNA from 13 species
GCCUCAGUAGCGCAGUAGGCAGCGCGUCAGUCUCAUAAUCACUCAUAAGAGUAAUCUGAAGGUCGUGAGUUCGAUCCUCACCUGGGGCA